GCUCAGUAUAAAAAACAAGAUGUAGAGCAGCUACCGUUAGUUAAAUCUAAACCAACAGAUAAGUUUGAUGUGACACAACUAGUUGUUUAUUUAGUUGGUUUGUCAGAUGGGCUUACUCAUUUAGCUUCUUUAGCAAUUUAUUAUUUAUUUAAAGAUCAUUAUAGAUUAACACCAUAUCAAAUAUCCUUAAUAUUAAUGUGUCCAUACAUCCCCUUUAUAUUAAAACCUAUUAUUGCUUUAAUUAGCGACUCUUUUACGUUAUUUGGAAUGAGAAGAAAACCAUAUUUAUUUUUAUUUAGUAUAUUUCAAUCGUUAAAUUUUUUAUCGUUAGCUUUUUUAAAUUUGUCUGUAUUACAAGUUACAUUAAAUUUAUUUUUUAUUUCUUUGUGUGCAUCUUUUUGUACUACAGUAGCUGAAGCUUUGGUAGUUGAAAGUUCGAUGGGAAAAACGCAUGUACAAGGUACUAAUAAGAUUACUGAAUUUAUAGCAUCGAAAGCUAUAGGAAGUUUAUCUGUUGCUUAUUUUUCUGGUUAUUUUUUGGAAAAAGUAUCAAGACAAUAUAUUUUUUUAGCUACUUCUUUUUUUCCAUUAAUUAUUUCAAUAUCAUGUUUGUUUUUAAAAGAAAAGCCAUAUGCAACAAACAAAAAUAUUUUUAUUCAGUUAAAAGAUUUAAUAAAAUUUAUAAAUAGUUCUAUAUUUUUAGGUCCAUUUUUAUAUAUAUUUAUAUAUAUGUCUGGGCCAGAUUAUGAUGAUGCUUUUUUUUUUUUCUGUACCAAUAAAUUAGGUUUUAGACCUUCUUUUAUGGGCACAUUACGAUUAACUUAUAGUAUUGCUUCAUUAUUAGGGAUUAUAUUUUAUCGAUUGUAUUUAAAAAAAUUUAGUUUAAAAAAAACAUUAAUCAUAACCACUCUGUUGUCAUUUCCUAUAUAUAUAUCACCUAUAAUUUUAACAGAACAAAUAAAUAAAUUUUUUAAUAUAUCAAAUGAACUUUUUGUUUUAAGUGGAGGUUUUUUAAUUGAAGCAAUAACAGAAAUACAAUUACUUCCAUUAUUUAUAUUAACAGCUAAUGUAUGUCAACCUGGUCUCGAAGCUAGUGUAUUUGCUACAAUUUUAAGUAUCAAAAAUUUAGGUUCUUUAACUAAAAAAGGGACAUCUUCUCUUCUUACUUAUAUGAUGGCUAUAGAUAGUUAUAAUUUUGAUCAUUUAAGUUUGUAUAUUUUUAUUUGUGGUUUAUUUCUUUUGUCGUCAUUAUUAUGUGUCCCUUUUUUACCAUCUCAAGAAAAAAUAGAAAAUUUUAAAGACAAGAAGCAGUUGGAGUCCAUAAAAUAAAAAAAUAAAACACAAAAUAAAAUAAAUAAAUAAAUAAAU
rnacentral:lncRNA from 1 species